CCCCUGGGGAGGGUCUUUUAACUUAGGCAAGUCGAACGGCAGCGUGGGGCUUCGGCCUGCCGGCGAGUGGCGAACGGGUGAGUAAUGCAUCGGAACGUGCCCAAGUCGUGGGGGAUAACGUAUCGAAAGGUACGCUAAUACCGCAUACGUCCUGAGGGAGAAAGCGGGGGAUUCUUCGGAACCUCGCGCGAUUGGAGCGGCCGAUGUCGGAUUAGCUAGUAGGUGAGGUAAAGGCUCACCUAGGCGACGAUCCGUAGCGGGUCUGAGAGGAUGAUCCGCCACACUGGGACUGAGACACGGCCCAGACUCCUACGGGAGGCAGCAGUGGGGAAUUUUGGACAAUGGGCGCAAGCCUGAUCCAGCCAUGCCGCGUGAGUGAAGAAGGCCUUCGGGUUGUAAAGCUCUUUCGGCCGGGAAGAAAUCGUGUUCUCUAACAUAGGACAUGGAUGACGGUACCGGACUAAGAAGCACCGGCUAACUACGUGCCAGCAGCCGCGGUAAUACGUAGGGUGCGAGCGUUAAUCGGAAUUACUGGGCGUAAAGCGUGCGCAGGCGGUUUUGUAAGACAGAUGUGAAAUCCCCGGGCUUAACCUGGGAACUGCGUUUGUGACUGCAAGGCUAGAGUACGGCAGAGGGGGGUGGAAUUCCUGGUGUAGCAGUGAAAUGCGUAGAUAUCAGGAGGAACACCGAUGGCGAAGGCAGCCCCCUGGGCCUGUACUGACGCUCAUGCACGAAAGCGUGGGGAGCAAACAGGAUUAGAUACCCUGGUAGUCCACGCCCUAAACGAUGUCGACUAGUCGUUCGGAGCAGCAAUGCACUGAGUGACGCAGCUAACGCGUGAAGUCGACCGCCUGGGGGAGUACGGGCCGCAGGUUAAAACUCAAAGGAAUUGACGGGGACCCGCACAAGCGGUGGAUGAUGUGGAAUUAUUUCCAUGCAACGCCUAAAACCUUACCUACCCUUGACAUGUCUGGAACUUGGCUGAGAGGCGAGGUUGCCUUCUGGAGCCAGAACCACAGGUGCUGCAUGGCUUGUCGUCAGCUCGUGUCGUGAGAUGUUGGGUUAGUCCCGCAACGAGCGCAACCCUUGUCACUAGUGCCAUCAUUUGGUGGGCACUCUAGGAAGAUGGCGGGUGACAACCCGGAGGAGUGGGGGAUGACGUCAAGUCCUCAUGGCCCUAAUGGAUAGCUUCACAGCGCCAUACAUGGUCGGACAGAGGGUGCCAAGGCGGGAAGGGUGGAGCAUUCCUUAAGGCGACUGCGUAAUCGACUGGAUCUGUGCAACUCGACAUACUGUGAAGUCGCGAUGAUCCUCUAUG
rnacentral:rRNA from 1 species